rnacentral:rRNA from 1 species
CCUACGGGAGGCAGCAGUGAGGAAUAUUGGUCAAUGGCCGGAAGGCUGAACCAGCCAAGCCGCGUGAAGGACGAAGGUGCCAAGCAUUGUAAACUUCUUUUGUCAAGGGACAAAAUCAGGCUCGAGAGCCUGACCGAGGGGACUUGAAGAAAAAGCAUCGGCUAACGCCGUGCCAGCAGCCGCGGUAAUACGGUGGAUGCGAGCGUUAUCCGGAUUUAUUGGGGUUAAAGGGUGCGUAGGCGGACUGUUAAGUCAGCGGGAAAAGCCCGAGGCUCAACCCCGGCGAGCCGUUGAAACUGGCUGUCUUGAGCUUUCGAGAGGUAUGCGGAAUGCGCCGUGUAGCGGU